GUAAAUUAGUGCACUCAGAGUAACCUCCAUAGCUCAAUUAAUUAUAUUAAGUAUAUGCCUAUAAUUAAUUUAAUUUAACUGAGGUUUUCUUCUCUGCAUUGCAUGCCUGCUGUAUCUAAGUCUUAAACUUGUUGGGCUGCAUGGUAUCCAUGUAAGAUUAGCCACUCCAUUUGCCAAAGAGAGCUUUAUUCAGUCAGAUUUGACUUGUAAUUCUGAUUUUAACAUAGGAGUAAUUUUACUGAAGUCAGCUGUAUUACAUUAGUGCAAAACCAGAGCAAAGCUCAGCAUUUGUAAGUUAUCUGCAAUAAAGGCAUCGUAAUUUCUGUAAUGCCACACAGAAACCUAUGCAUCUAAUUACCUCCCAAAAAUGUUUUAAAUAAGGACAGUUUUUGCUUCACUGGUAUUCUGAGGUGAGUAACUAAGGUGCUGGAAAGGCACAAAUUUUUCACACUUCCUAUUGCUAGCAUGCAGAUGCCUGCAAAAAACAUGCAAGAAAAUACGUUUCCUUCAAAAGAGUGUAACAGUUUGCAUGUUGAUGACAGGAAUUUAUGAGGGGUCUCGAUCAGAUUUUUCUGCUAAUGUGAAGAGCUCAUUUUCCUUUAAAAUCACUAGAUUCCAUCACUGGAGAAAAUAUAUCAGCAAAUUACUUCCUCAGUCAAUAAAAUAAGCUUUUGAACCAAAACCAUGACGUCUUUUGACAUUGUCAAGCCAUGGAAGCAUUUAAAAAAAAAGAAAGGAGGAAAAAAAUACCAGUUAGAAAAGCAACUUAAAAUGCAAUGUUCUGAACAUGGAUGCAGUUUGCUACAGCUGUGUUGCCAGUGUUGCAUUAGGAAACAGCAAAAUAAGGAUAGAAAGGCACAGACUCAUCUUUGUUAAUAAUUCAGCAGUAUCAGAAAUAUCUGCAGAGUCCUGGUGCUUCACAGUACCGUAUCGGAGCCUUCCCGUAUGUAUACUAAACUAAAUCAACAGUAGCAGAUUCAUACUAAGAAGCAGAUGCUCAGGUAGGGUUACCUGUACUGUACUUGGUGUUAGGAGUGUAGUUCAAUACUUGCAAGGGUCCCCUCCUCCAUCCUUUAUUAACUGUUCUUCGUUCUACAUUUUUCUUGUUAAUGGCCCACACGGCCAAGAAAACAGGUCAGUGAUUUCACUGUGUCUUGCUUUUAUUAAUCCCCAAUUGUGGAUCAAGUCAGAAGCAAUCAUGGCCCUGGUGAUUUAUGGAUUGUCCUGAUAAACCUGGACAGUCGGAGACCGUCAGAUGCCAGCCCGAGCAGCUGCAGCCCAAACCUUAGUUCAGACCCAAACGAGCAAAGUGUGCGUGGACGUGUGUAAGGGCCCGUGGACGUGUGUAAGGGCCUGGGGAGUCUGUGUGUGCAGAGGGGUUCAUUGAAUAGCAGCACAACAGAGGCUGGUGCUGCUUUUUGCAAGCUGCACAUAAGCUAUUAGUUUCACACGUGCAGAAAGCAGACUAUCACUGAGUGAUCUGAAAUCCAGACGACAGGUUUUAUUGCAAAGCGUGGAUGGCUGCUUAAAGAGAAACAAAGAAAAUAACACAGAAUACAUGCGAAAUGGGAACACUUUCAAAGUGAGCCUGAAAAGAGAGGAACAAAGCAGAGAGGAUAAAGAAAAGAGCAAUUCUGGAUCUGAGCAAGACUUAGAGGAACUGCAGGGGCCAGAGAGGAAGAGGGAGCCCUCGUCUGGUUUAUACUAUCUUCGGAGAGCCCCAGACAAGCCCUUCAGAAAAAUUCUGAUUUUCUAUCGCAUUGUGAUUAACCCUUGAUGCUCCCUGGGGAAGAGCUUGCAUCAGUGUGGGUGGUGGAUGGUGCCCAACAUCAUGGACGUCACGGACAGAUCACUACGUCCUGUUCAACGAAAGUUAACAGACUUUCUUAGUUCUCUUGUCUUGUACAUCAACAUAAAUCAGCACUUACUCUUCCUGAAAUCCAGGGGACAUACGACCAUUAUAUUGGUUAAGUGGGUAUAAAGAGAGAACCUAUUCAGUUCUCUUAUAGACCUCGGUUGCUCACGGCUUUGCUGGGAGUAGAUUUCUUGCUGAAGUGAGAACUGGUAUAAUAUUUUAAGGAAAAAUAAGAGGGGACAGAGCAGCACUCAAUGAAUGAUUAUCCAUUCCGCCGUUUCCCUGUUCAGGCCUGGUAAAACAUACAUCUGCUGCUUGAAUCUUAGCUCAAGAAAAAAGGAAUAUUGUGAAGCCCUGUAGUUCAAAAAUGUUGUGUAUUUAAAGCAGUAAAUUCUCACAGGGACUGUGAUCCUCUUGCAGCAGAGAGUUACUGCAGACAAACUGCUGGGAGGGAGAGCAGUCUCGUUUUUGGGGAAUGCCAUGGCAGCAGGUACCUGGGGGUCCCGUGGCUAGAAGCAGACCAUGCAUGUUUUGCUGCUGCAGUGCUAUGGCCUUUUCUCCAGAACCAGAGAAUGGAUUUGGUGCUUCUCAGUAUCCUGCUUGAAAUGACAUUGCCAAGAGCCAUCCAGGUCUUACUUCGGAUCCGUUAGAGUAGUAUGCCAGGUGCCUGGGAGUAAGAAAUGGGAAAGGCUUUUCCAUGAACUAGCACAGAGUUGUUCCCUACAGAAUUUUUUAUGGACAUUCAGAAAAAAGUCCUGAGCUGCUUUAAUUUCCCAUAAAACACAGGAAGCGAAUCGGCAGUGAAUACAAAUCCCAUCCAGGCUGGACAACUUUCUGGACGGACUGAAAAGAGGUCAGGAUAUAUCGGGGUCACCAGAGAACACCGCGGAUUUGUCUAUCCAGGGGUUUUUAAACCUCAGCGACUGAUUACCCAUUGCGCUCUGUUACAGGACAUGUCUGAGCAUGGUCUACUGGACACAGCACAUGUUUCUUCCAGGACGUGAGUGCAAGCAGAUGUCCUGCUCAGCCCGUAUGACUGCACGAAUGAGCUGGAAUUACUUGCAAUCAAUUGCCUUCAGUAAAUACUUCUGUGUUUCCAUGUUCA